ACACACAGACACACACUCACAGGAGCCGGUUCUAAGACACACACGACCACUCUGCCAACCAGGAAGUGUGUUCCCGUGCUGGUGGAAGGAGGAGGGUCGCUGGGAGGACAGAGGCUCACGCUGAGAGACGGCAGCAGGAGGAUGCAGUCAUGGAGAGAGACGCACCCGGACUCUACCGACAGGAACAGGAUGGAGCACGGAGGCUGACGGCCACGGCCAUUCCCCCGUCUGGAUGAGUUCCCUGCUGCUGU
rnacentral:lncRNA from 1 species